CCCGGGUGCUGGACGCUGAGCAACCCCCUCCGUGGAGCCCCGGGUGCUGGACGCUGUGCACCCCCCUCCAUGGAGCCCCGGGUGCUAGACGCUGAGCACCCCCCUCCGUGGAGCCCCGGGUGCUGGACGCUGAGCACCCCCUCCAUGGAGCCCCGGGUGCUGGACGCUAAGCACCCCCCUCCGUGGGGCCCCGGGCCCCGGGGUGGGGACAUGGAGCCAGGCUGCACCUGUCCCGAGAGGGUUCUGGUCGUUGCUACCACUGGCUGCCUGAGCCGGCCCUGCCCGGGGCUUUCCUGUGACACAAGAACCCUGACCCGUGCCUGUGGGGAGGACAGAGCAAGGGGCACCACGCGGCCAGGCCCGCUUGGGGGUCCCCUGGGAGGUGCCUGUUCUCCAGGAGGAGCUGGGACCCCCGCUCCUGGGCACCCCACAAACUGUGACCCCCAGGAAACCCCCUGAGGACAUGACUCACUGGAAGGCCGGGGGGCAGCAAUGACCCCACGUCCAGGCUGCUGUCCCCACGCAGGGCGGACAAGGGGCCGGGGUAACGAGGGUGAGUGGGAGGAGUCUGCGGCAGGGGCCCGGGGUGGUGUGGGGGCCUACAGCGGCCUGGGGGGCAGGAUGGCGGGAGGCGCUGGCCAGCAGACCCCACCACCACCACCACACCCCACCCCGCUGCCAGAAGCAGCGCUGGAGACCCCCUGAAGUGCAGCCCCCGGUGGGUGAGGCAGCAUGGGGGGGCUGGGGGGGCCACUGCGGGGGCUGGGGGCCCAGCACUGCUGCUGGGGGUGGCGGGCAGGGUCCGGGUCGGGGGACCAGGUCCGGGUCCAGGUCAGGUGCUCACCACCCCAGCCGUCUUCCGAGCUCACUGUCCUCAGUGGCUCAGUGGGAUCUACCGACGUGCUCUGUCUACACCCCAGUUCUGUGGACUCUUAGGAUAAAACUGCCAGUUAUGUUACCAGAAAAACAGGUUUAUUUGGGAAUCGCACAGAAUGGCAAAUUAAGGCAAAACCACAGGGGAGCCCUGGGGAUGGAGAGGAGGCUCUUUUAUAGAGAAAGUUGGGGCGCCCGCUGUAAACUAAAACCCAAUUGGAGUAAACUGGGGGCUGCAAGAGAAACGGCUUCUCAUUGGCUGGGCCCUGGCCGUCUCUCAUUGGCUGGGCUGUUGCCAGGGCAGGAGGAAACCUUCCCGGUCCCUCCAGGGUAGAGCAGUGUGUCCACCUGCAGGGUUCCUUGCUCCGCCACCUGUUCCCAGAGAGGGGUGCCGAGGGCUCCUCCUGUUAGCGUCCACACCGUCACGGUUUCCCCUCUCAUUUCCUCGUCCCUCCAUCGGAUUCCUGUCCCCCGUGGCGCACAGAUACUGUUUCUGCAGCUGGGUGACUGUGUCCCUGGGAGGUCCCCACGUGGCCGCAGAGGUGGGGGAGUCCACUUCUGGAGGCUGCGCUGGGACAGGUGCACU
rnacentral:lncRNA from 12 species